AUCUUCUGCCCCACACUCUUUGGGUCCACGCCUUUCUCUGAUCCAGCAGUAACACUUCAUUCCUUGAAGCCCGUGAGACCAUGAACCCUUUGAUUGAGAAAAACCUUCGAUCAGAAGACUUCUCAUUUCACCAAAUUUCAUGCGUGUCCAUAUGAAGAGACCACCAAACAGGAUUUGUGUAUGGAGGUCUCACUUUGUUGCCUAGGCUGGAGUGUAAUGGUGAUUCUGACAAAUGAUCAUAGCACGCUACAACCUCUACCUCCUGGGCUCAAGCGCUUCUCCUGCCUCAGAGUCCCAAGUAACUGGAACUACAGAUUCUCACUCUGUCACCCAGGCUGGAGUGCAGUGGCAUGAUCAUAGCUAAUGGUACAUCUUGAACUUCUGGACUCCAGAGGUCCUUCCCUCUCAGCCUCCCAAGUAGCUAGGACUAUAGGCGUACACUACCUUGCCCUGCUUUCUUUGCUUUGGUAGACAGGGCUUCAACACUUUGCUGUUUAACUACAUUGCCAGCUGAUCUCCAGCUCCUGGCCUAAAGCAAUCUUCCCAUUUUGGCCUCCCAAAGUGCUGGGAUUGCAGGCA
rnacentral:lncRNA from 1 species